rnacentral:rRNA from 1 species
UACGGGGGGGGCAAGCGUUGUUCGGAAUUACUGGGCGUAAAGGGCUCGUAGGUGGCCAACUAAGUCAGACGUGAAAUCCCUCGGCUUAACCGGGGAACUGCGUCUGAUACUGGAUGGCUUGAGUUUGGGAGAGGGACGCGGAAUUCCAGGUGUAGCGGUGAAAUGCGUAGAUAUCAGGAGGAACACCUGCGGUGUAGACGGCUUUCUGGACCAUUGCUGACGCUGAGACACGAAAGCGUGGGGAGCGAACAGG